CUUUUCGAGGUAGGAGUCGACUCCUGUGAGGUAUGGUGCUGGGUGCAGAUGCAGUGUGGCUCUGGAUAGCACCUUAUGGACAGUUGUGUCCCCAAGGAAGGAUGAGAAUAGCUACUGAAGUAAGUUGAAAAUUCCCUCUCAAAAAGGUUUAAAGCCAUUGGAUGUGCCACAAUGAUGACAGUUUAUUUGCUACUCUUGAGUGCUAGAAUGAUGAGGAUCUUAACCACCAUUAUCUUAACUGAGGCACCCAAAAUGGUGAGUUGGGGAACAUAGAGAGUACACCUAAGUUCACAUGAAGUUGUUUCUUCCCAGGUCCUAAAGAGCAAGCCUAACUCAAGCCAUUGGCACACAGGCAUUAGACAGAAAGCUGGAAGUUGAAAUGGUGGAGUCCAACUUGCCUGGACCAGCUUAAUGGUUCUGCUCCUGGUAACGUUUUUAUCCAUGGAUGACUUGCUUGGGUAAGGACAUGAAGACAGUUCCUGUCAUACCUUUUAAAGGUACAUGUUUUAUUGAUGUUAACGUUAAUUGAUUGAGCUACUGUUAGUGAUGAUUUUAAAAUUAAAGCAGAUGGGAAUCUCUCUGAGAAAGAAAAUGGAGAUUAAUCUUAAACUGAAACAGUAGUUGGGAAAUCUUUUAGAAAUCCACCUAUUACUACCUAUUGGUAAAGGAGAUUAAAUUUCUACAGGUAUGGAGAGUCGGCUUGACUACACUGUGUGGAGCAAGUUUUAAAGAAGCAAAGGUAUAGCAGUUCCAAGUAUUUUUUUUUUUUUUUUAGACAAGAGUCUAGCUCUUGCCCAGAAUGGAGUGCAGCGGCACUAUCAGUUCACUGCAACCUCUGCCUCCCAGGUUCAAGGAAUUCUCCUGCCUCAGCCUCUUGAGUAGCUGGGAUUACAGGCAUGUGACACCAUGCCUGGCUAAUUUUGUACAGCUAUGUUGUCCAGGCUGGUCUCGAACUCUUGACCUCAAGUGAUACUGCCCGCACUGACCUCCCAAAGUGCUGGGAUUACAGGCGUGAGCCACCAUGCCCCGCCUCAAGUCUGGUUUUUAAGUGUUGUAAAGCCGAUACAAUGAUGAUAACAUAGUUCAGCAGACUAACGCUGAUGAGCAAUAUUAAGUCUUUCGCUCCUAUCUGAUGUAUCUGGCGGUAACAUUCUAGUUUAUGCCCCGAAAAGGGGAAUAUAGCCAUUCUAUAAUGUUUGGAGAUUUUGGAUUACUCCUAAUUGUAUGCAAGUUGUCUUACUGUGUAUUGUCCCUUAAUUUCAGGACUCAGAAUUCAUGAUUGAAGAAAUGCAGGUUAGUUUAAACUUUGAAGGAAAUUUUUAAGGUGGCAAAAGGUUUUGGUGGCAUAUACACCUUAAUCUGUAGAUGGGAGUGAUUAGCUGUUUAAAAGUUAAAAUGUGACUGAGAAGGAAAUUGAGUAGGGCAAAUUUUAAAUGGGUAUUAUUUUUCAUCUUCAAACAGGCAGACCUGUUAUCCUAAACUAGGUGAGUCAGCUUUUGGUACAUGUGAUGAUUUUCAGUGUAACCAAUGAUGUAAUGAUUCUGCCAAAUGAAAUAUAAUGAUAUCACUGUAAAACCGUUCCAUUUUGAUUCUGAGGUUACUCUACUAACAAGCAUCACACAUUUGUAUUUUGCCCUGAUUAAUAUGUUGGCUUCGCUUUCAGGGUUUUUAAUGACCACAACAAGCAAGCAUGCAGCUUACUGCUUGAAAGGUGAGGAUUGGAAAUGUUGGGACUAUUAUAAUUGCAGAAUACAUGAUGAUCUCAAUCCAACUUGAACUCUCUCACUGAUUACUUGAUGACAAUAAAAUAUCUGAUAUUCUGCAUUCCCAUGUAGCAUUUUAAUUGAAGUCUGUAAAUGUGGCUAAAAGUCUUGUCUUAUUUUUUGAGACAGGGUCUUGCCUCACCCAAGCUAGAGUGCAGUGGCCUUUGAAGCUUACUACAGCCUCAAACUUCUGGGCUCAAGUGAUCCUCAGCCUCCCAGUGGUCUUUGUAGACUGCCUGAUGGAGUCUCAUGGCACAAGAAGAUUAAAACAGUGUCUCCAAUUUUAAUAAAUUUUUGCAAUCCA
ensembl:lncRNA GAS5 growth arrest specific 5